rnacentral:rRNA from 1 species
AUUCCAGCUCCAAUAGCGUAUAUUAAAGUUGUUGCAGUUAAAAAGCUCGUAGUUGGAUUUGUGGUGAAUUGUAGCGUCCUCUUUUGGUCUUGCUGCAAUCUGCCAUCCUUGGGUGGAAUCUGUGUGGCAUUAGGUUGUCGUGCAGGGGAGGCCCAUCAUUUACUGUGAAAAAAUCAGCGCGUUCAAAGCAGGCUUAGGCCGUUGAAUGUAUUAGCAUGGAAUAAUAAGAUAGGGCCUUGGUACUAUUUUGUUGGUUUGUGCACCGAGGUAAUGAUUAAUAGGGACAGUUGGGGGUAUUCGUAUUCCAUUGUCAGAGGUGAAAUUCUUGGAUUUCUGGAAGACGAACUACUGCGAAAGCAUUUACCAAGGAUGUUUUC